rnacentral:rRNA from 1 species
AGUGAACGCUGGCGGUAGGCCUAACACAUGCAAGUCGAACGGCAGCACAGUAAGAGCUUGCUCUUACGGGUGGCGAGUGGCGGACGGGUGAGGAAUACAUCGGAAUCUACUUUUUCGUGGGGGAUAACGUAGGGAAACUUACGCUAAUACCGCAUACGACCUACGGGUGAAAGCAGGGGAUCUUCGGACCUUGCGCGAUUGAAUGAGCCGAUGUCGGAUUUGCUAGUUGGCGGGGUAAAGGCCCACCAAGGCGACGAUCCGUAGCUGGUCUGAGAGGAUGAUGAGCCACACUGGAACUGAGACACGGUCCAGACUCCUACGGGAGGCAGCAGUGGGGAAUAUUGGACAAUGGGCGCAAGCCUGAUCCAGCCAUACCGCGUGGGUGAAGAAGGCCUUCGGGUUGUAAAGCCCUUUUGUUGGGAAAGAAAAGCAGCAGGUUAAUACCCCGCUGUUCUGACGGUACCCAAAGAAUAAGCACCGGCUAACUUCGUG